CUCUACGGCCAUGCCACCCUGAACAAGCCCGAUCCCAUCUGAUCUCAGAAGCUAAGCAGGGUUGGGACUGAUUAGUACUUGGAUGGGAGACUACCUAGGAAGACCAGGUGCUGUAGGAG
rnacentral:rRNA from 1 species